GACACGACCUGUAUCGUCCGGCAGAUGAUAGCCAACUCGCUGCUCUAUCUGGCGAUCAACUUUGCCGGGAUGUACACCAAGUAUCUGACGGACCGCGGCCAACGGUUGGCCUUCAUCGAAACGCACAAAGCCAUGGAGCACAAGCGGGAAUCGGAAAAGGAGUACCAAAGGACGCAACGGCUGCUCGAUUCCAUUCUUCCCAUGUUCGUCAACAAUGACAUCCGAAAGGAAAUGUACAAAUCGCCGGAGCAGCCCCAGGUCGAUACCCAGUUCAAGAAGCUGUACAUCUACCACAUGGACAACGUUAGCAUCCUGUUCGCCGACAUCAAGGGUUUCACCGAGCUGGCCAGCAAGACAUCAGCUCAGCAGUUGGUUAAGGUGCUGAACGACCUGUUCGCCCGGUUCGAUAAAAUCGCCGAGGAUAAUCACUGUUUGAGGAUCAAGCUACUCGGCGAUUGCUACUACUGCGUUUCGAUGUUCGACAGCCAGAGCUGGAAAAGCCGGCCGGAUCAUGCGGUUUGCAGUGUGGAAACGGGACUUCACAUGAUCAAAGCGAUCAAGGACGUCCGAGUACAGACCAAUGUGGUUGACCUGGACAUGCGUAUCGGAAUCCACAGUGGGUCGGUAAUGUGCGGGGUGCUCGGUGAAAAGAAGUGGCAUUUCGAUGUGUGGUCCAACGAUGUGAUAAUCGCCAAUCAUAUGGAGUCAGGAGGAGUUCCUGGACGAGUUCACAUAUCGGAGGCCACUCUCAAUUGUUUGAACGACACGUAUGAGGUUGAGCCCGGGAAUGGAGCCAGUCGAGACAGUCAUCUGAAAAUGAUGAACAUUAAGACAUAUCUUAUAAAGCGGACCGAACCGCUAAGGCCGAGGAAAAGACUGAUGAAUCGAAUGAGUACGCUACAGUUUGAGAAAGAAACUAUCAAUAAGAUUAAUGAUCCGAGGUAUCGGAAGGACUCGAAGACACCAAGUGUCGCCUCUAGUGGAACUAAUAACAAUAACCAUAUCACGAAACGUAGCUCCAAAUCGACAAUACACGAGGACGAAACAACUACGGACUGGACACCGGAGAUCCCAUUCGGGAACCUAAAUCAAGUCGGGGUCAACGCUGCAGAAAGCUUUCGAGACAAGCAAAACUAUGACACAGAAGAUACAAUCCCUUCAACGGAAGAGGUGGACGACAUCAUCGAUCAGAAUAUACAAAUCAAUUCGAACAAACAAAUGCGGGAAGAAUAUCUCUACACGUGGACGCUCAAAUUUAAAGAUUCAUCUCAAGAAGGCACCUUCUGUCAGCUCCGAGAAGAUAUGUUCCGAUCUAAUAUGCUUUGCGUGUUCGUUGUGUGGAUAUUUAUCGUGCUAUGUCAAGCUGUGAUCAUUCCGAAAUGCACUAUCCUUAUCGUUUCCCUCUCGAUUACGACUUUCGUGCUGACGAUCGGUUGUGUCCUUGUUAUGGCCGAAGAGUUCUCCACGCUUCCAGAGUUUCUGCAGAAAAGUUCUUCCACUCUAGUGCACGAUCGUAAGCGCCGAACGAUUUUCGUUUGCAUUACAAUCAUUCUCAUGUCUGCAGCUAGUUCGAUGGGGCUGAUCAUGUGCGAUCUUGACGAGCCCAUCACCACGGCAGAAACCAUUCACAAAGAACCAGCCAUAGCCUAUCUCCAGAUACCUGGAUCCAAGCAGGAACUCCAACUCAAUCUCACCGUAACAGCCACCAUCAAUCAGAAUCUGAUCCUCAACUCACACAAGAUCGUCAACGUAGAUCUGGAAUCUUUGCUUGCCGAGCAGAACAAAACUUUGAAGGAUCUCGAUGAGCAAGAACUGAAAUCUCUUGGACUUAUUCCUACCUACAUUGAUCUUCCCCUGAACUACAAAGUCCCGUCUUCUAAUACCUCUGAUGAUCCAUUGCAGGAUAUCACCUCCAAACACCUCCAUACCACUUUCACAUCUCUCGACAGCUACGGCCACCCCGUUUGUGUGCACCCGGAGUACGUAGUCUUCACCUGGGUGCUUUGUCUCAUUUCCCUUGCCACAGCCCUCAAACUGUACUACCUCGUCAAAACCUUCAUGGCCAUCACCAUGGUCGCGUGCUACUCGAUUCUGAUUCUUCUCGUGUUCAACGAGGUCUUCGCGACGUACGACAUCCAAUUCAUGCAAGCCAGCGGAAUGCCCUUGGCCGCUCAGAUGAUGAUCCUACUGGUCGUUUUCCUGACGAUGGUCACCUACCACGCUCGGCUGGUGGAGGUAACCUCUAGGUUAGACUUCAUCUGGAAAGAGCAAGCCGAAAAGGAACUGUCGAACAUGAAGUCGAACCGCCAUCUGAACGAUCUGCUGAUCAAGAACAUCCUGCCGGACCACGUGGCAUCGUACUACCUCUCGGAGGAACGAGCCGACGAACUGUAUGCCCAGAUGCACGAACUGUGCGGCGUGAUGUUCGCAUCGAUUCCAAACUUCAAGGACUUCUAUUCGGAGGACAUUGAAAAUGGGAAGGCGUGCAUCAGGAUUUUGAACGAGAUCAUUUCGGACUUCGACUCGCUGCUGGAAGAGGAACGGUUCAAGACUGUCGAAAAGAUCAAAACUGUGGGAGCGACUUACAUGGCGGCGUCCAAUCUGCGCUCGGGGAAUAAGACCAAAGUUGACGAGAAAGAUGAGGAAGCCGUUUGCGAUUUGGUGGAGUUUGCCUUGGCCAUGCGACAGAAACUUCAGGAGGUCAACAAGGAUGCUUUCAACACGUUCCAGCUAAGGGUUGGCAUUAGUAGUGGGCCCCUGGUGAGUGGCGUCAUUGGAGCUCGUAAGCCCGUCUACGACAUCUGGGGCAAUACCGUUAACGUUGCGUCCCGGAUGGACUCCACCGGAGAGAACUGGAAAGUGCAGGUCCCGGACUAUACGGCGGCGUUGCUACAAACCAAGGGUUACACGUGUGUCCAACGUGGAGAGGUGAACGUGAAGGGUAAGGGUCUCAUGUUGACCUACUGGGUGCUCGGUAUGAAUGUGUCCGCAAGUCAAUUAACCUCUCCAGCACUGAUGCCCGCUGGAGUUCCACAGGUUCAGACACCGUCCCUACAGAGACAGAUUUCUCAGCACAGCUCUCUUGCGGCCGUAGUGUUUGGUAUGAUGCAAGCGUCCAAGAGAAGCAAUCAUAACACAACUCAAAAAUGUGGCUGGAGCCGUGCUAAAAACUUGACCGUCAAUAAGAUGCGUUUGCUGGCACCCAACCGCAACGCCUUCUCCGAAAACCCGGUUCGGGCGACGGGGAAGCACAUUCAGCUCAGUGAGAUUGAGUCAGAAAGUGCAGUCUAAUAAUCCGAUCCGAAGGAACACGACCCGGGUACGGGGCCGCAGUUACACCAUGAAGAAGCCAACCAUCCCUCAUUCGCCAUCGGUACAGAUUCCGACCUGUACCACGCCGGACAACAAUGUGAUACCAUCCUUCCUGCAGCUGCACCAGAACGUCAAAGAGGAACAGACUGGAGUGUAAUCGAGAAUCAAAGAGUUGUAACUAUUUUUUAUUCGUCCGGAAACUACGGACGGAAUUUUUGCCAAAUGUCUGCUGCUUUCCACGUGAGAGCCCAACUGGAAAUGGCAUUUGCACAGAAAAUAGCACACUAGAAGCUGGAAACGGUAGCCAAAUAUUGUAUUCUAGUCAUGAAACAGAACAAGUAGAGAAUCAAACACACAAACUUUUACUGUUAUAUACUAACUGCACAAACCAUUUCUAAACCAUAGAUAAGUACGCCGUUUUGCAGGUCGAUCGAAUUUUAUUCAGAAAAUCAAACUAAACUAUUCAAAUCUAUAGAACAGAGUCAGAACAACAA